rnacentral:rRNA from 1 species
AUUGAACGCUGGCGGCAUGCUUUACACAUGCAAGUCGAACGGUAACAGGCCUUCGGGUGCUGCCGAGUGGCGCACGGGUGCGUAAUGCAUCGGAACGUACCCAGAGGUGGGGGAUAACGCAGCGAAAGCUGUGCUAAUACCGCAUGUGAUCUGAGGAUGAAAGCGGGGGACCGAGCAGCAAUGUUUGGCCUCGCGCCUUUGGAGCGGCCGAUGUCGGAUUAGCUAGUUGGUGGGGUAAAGGCCUACCAAGGCGACGAUCCGUAGCUGGUCUGAGAGGACGACCAGCAACAGUGGGACUGAGACACGGCCCAGACUCCUACGGGAGGCAGCAGUGGGGAAUGUGGGACAAUGGGCGCAAGCCUGAUCCAGCAAGGCCGCGUGCGGGAAGAAGGCCUUCGGGUUGUAAACCGCUUUUGGCAGGAACGAAACGGUGUCCGCUAAUACCGGGCGCUAAUGACGGUACCUGCAGAAUAAGCACCGGCUAACUACGUG